rnacentral:rRNA from 1 species
ACUCAAAUGAAUUGACGGGGACCCGCACAAGCAGUGGAGCAUGUGGUUUAAUUCGAUGCUACGCGAAAAACCUUACCAGCUCUUGAAUCCCGAUUACGAUUUCCAGAGAUGGAUUUCUCGGUUCGGCCGGAUCGGAGACAGGUGUUGCAUGGCUGUCGUCAGCUCGUGUCGUGAGAUGUUAGGUUAAGUCCUUCAACGAGCGCAACCCUCAUCCUUAUUUGCCAUCGGGUUAUGCCGGGAACUAUAAGGAAACCGCUAGCGAUAAGCUAGAGGAAGGCGGGGACGAUGUCAAGUCAUCAUGGCCCUUAUGGGCUGGGCUACACACAUGCUACAAUGGCGAUCACAGCAGGACGCAAAGGAGCAAUCCGGAGCAAAUCCCAAAAAAUCGUCUCAGUUCAGAUUGAGGGCUGCAACUCGCCCUCAUGAAGUUGGAAUUGCUAGUAAUCGUGGAUCAGCACGCCACGGUGAAUACGUUCUCGGGUCUUGUACACACCGCCCGU